AGAUGGGAGCUUGCUCCCUGAUGUUAGCGGCGGACGGGUGAGUAACACGUGGGUAACCUGCCUGUAAGACUGGGAUAACUCCGGGAAACCGGGGCUAAUACCGGAUGGUUGUCUGAACCGCAUGGUUCAGACAUAAAAGGUGGCUUCGGCUACCACUUACAGAUGGACCCGCGGCGCAUUAGCUAGUUGGUGAGGUAACGGCUCACCAAGGCGACGAUGCGUAGCCGACCUGAGAGGGUGAUCGGCCACACUGGGACUGAGACACGGCCCAGACUCCUACGGGAGGCAGCAGUAGGGAAUCUUCCGCAAUGGACGAAAGUCUGACGGAGCAACGCCGCGUGAGUGAUGAAGGUUUUCGGAUCGUAAAGCUCUGUUGUUAGGGAAGAACAAGUGCCGUUCAAAUAGGGCGGCACCUUGACGGUACCUAACCAGAAAGCCACGGCUAACUACGUGCCAGCAGCCGCGGUAAUACGUAGGUGGCAAGCGUUGUCCGGAAUUAUUGGGCGUAAAGGGCUCGCAGGCGGUUUCUUAAGUCUGAUGUGAAAGCCCCCGGCUCAACCGGGGAGGGUCAUUGGAAACUGGGGAACUUGAGUGCAGAAGAGGAGAGUGGAAUUCCACGUGUAGCGGUGAAAUGCGUAGAGAUGUGGAGGAACACCAGUGGCGAAGGCGACUCUCUGGUCUGUAACUGACGCUGAGGAGCGAAAGCGUGGGGAGCGAACAGGAUUAGAUACCCUGGUAGUCCACGCCGUAAACGAUGAGUGCUAAGUGUUAGGGGGUUUCCGCCCCUUAGUGCUGCAGCUAACGCAUUAAGCACUCCGCCUUGGGGAGUACGGUCGCCAGACUGGAACUCAAGGAAAUUGACGGGGGC
rnacentral:rRNA from 1 species